rnacentral:rRNA from 1 species
UACGUAGGGCGCAAGCGUUGUCCGGAAUUAUUGGGCGUAAAGAGCCCGUAGGCGGCCUGUUACGUCUGCUGUGAAAUCCCGGGGCUUAACCCCGGGCGUGCAGUGGAUACGGGCAGGCUGGAGGCAGGCAGGGGAGAACGGAAUUCCCGGUGUAGCGGUGAAAUGCGCAGAUAUCGGGAGGAACACCGGUGGCGAAGGCGGUUCUCUGGGCCUGUACUGACGCUGAGGCACGAAAGCGCGGGGAGCAAACAGG